CUAAACGGCCGCGGUACAAAACCGUGCAAAGGUAGCACAAUCACUUGUCCCUUAAAUGAGGACCCGUAUGAAAGGCAACAUGAGAGAAAACCUGUCUCCUAAGGUCAGCCAGUGAAAUUGAUCUAUCAGUACAAAAGCUGAUAUAAUAAAGCAAGACAAAAAGACCCUAUGGAACUUUUAACGAAUUACUUACACAAAUAAGCAAUAGUUUCAGUUGGGACAACUUUAGAAAAAAUAAACCUCUAACAUAUAACCUUGACCAACAAGUCUCCAACAUACUACAAGACCCAGUAACACUGACAAACGAAACAAGCUACCCUAGGGAUAACAGCGCUACCUUCUCAAAGAGUCCGUAUCAACAAGAAGAUCUACGACCUCGAUGUUGGAUCAGGGUACCCAGACGGUGCAGCAGCUGUCAAUGGUUCGUUUGUUCAACGACUAAUACCC
rnacentral:rRNA from 1 species